rnacentral:rRNA from 1 species
CAGAUUGAACGCUGGCGGCAUGCUUUACACAUGCAAGUCGGACGGCAGCACAGAGAAGCUUGCUUCUUGGGUGGCGAGUGGCGAACGGGUGAGUAAUGCAUCGGAACGUACCGAGUAGUGGGGGAUAACUGUCCGAAAGGAUGGCUAAUACCGCAUACGCUUUGAGAAGGAAAGCAGGGGCUCUUCGGACCUUGCGCUAUUCGAGCGGCCGAUGUCUGAUUAGCUGGUUGGUGGGGUAAAGGCCUACCAAGGCGACGAUCAGUAGCGGGUCUGAGAGGAUGAUCCGCCACACUGGGACUGAGACACGGCCCAGACUCCUACGGGAGGCAGCAGUGGGGAAUUUUGGACAAUGGGCGCAAGCCUGAUCCAGCCAUGCCGCGUGUCUGAAGAAGGCCUUCGGGUUGUAAAGGACUUUUGUCAGGGAAGAAAAGGUUGUGGUUAAUACCCAUGACUGAUGACGGUACCUGAAGAAUAAGCACCGGCUAACUACGUGCCAGCAGCCGCGGUAAUACGUAGGGUGCGAGCGUUAAUCGGAAUUACUGGGCGUAAAGCGGGCGCAGACGGUUACUUAAGUCAGAUGUGAAAUCCCCGGGCUCAACCUGGGAACUGCGUUUGAAACUGGGUGACUAGAGUAUGUCAGAGGGGGGUAGAAUUCCACGUGUAGCAGUGAAAUGCGUAGAGAUGUGGAGGAAUACCGAUGGCGAAGGCAGCCCCCUGGGAUAAUACUGACGUUCAUGCCCGAAAGCGUGGGUAGCAAACAGGAUUAGAUACCCUGGUAGUCCACGCCCUAAACGAUGUCAAUUAGCUGUUGGGCAACUUGAUUGCUUAGUAGCGUAGCUAACGCGUGAAAUUGACCGCCUGGGGAGUACGGUCGCAAGAUUAAAACUCAAAGGAAUUGACGGGGACCCGCACAAGCGGUGGAUGAUGUGGAUUAAUUCGAUGCAACGCGAAGAACCUUACCUGGUCUUGACAUGUACGGAAUCCUCCAGAGACGGAGGAGUGCCUUCGGGAGCCGUAACACAGGUGCUGCAUGGCUGUCGUCAGCUCGUGUCGUGAGAUGUUGGGUUAAGUCCCGCAACGAGCGCAACCCUUGUCAUUAGUUGCCAUCAUUUGGUUGGGCACUCUAAUGAGACUGCCGGUGACAAGCCGGAGGAAGGUGGGGAUGACGUCAAGUCCUCAUGGCCCUUAUGACCAGGGCUUCACACGUCAUACAAUGGUCGGUACAGAGGGUAGCCAAGCCGCGAGGUGGAGCCAAUCCCACAAAACCGAUCGUAGUCCGGAUUGCACUCUGCAACUCGAGUGCAUGAAGUCGGAAUCGCUAGUAAUCGCAGGUCAGCAUACUGCGGUGAAUACGUUCCCGGGUCUUGUACACACCGCCCGUCACACCAUGGGAGUGGGGGAUACCAGAAGUAGGUAGGGUAACCGCAAGGAGCCCGCUUACCACGGUAUGCUUCAUGACUGGGGUGAAGUCGUAACAAGGUAGCCGUAGGGGAACCUGCGGCUGGAUCACCUCCUUUCUAGAGAAAAGAGGCUGAGAGGCACUCACACUUAUCGGUAAACUGUGAUAUUAAAGAUGCGUUUAAGCUUGAAGAUGUGCUGCAUGAAUUACUUUUAAGCCGAGCAUGACCGAAAAGGUUAUUCGGAUUAAGAAGGAUGGUUGUUGGCAUAUUGGAAAGCAAAGAGACCUUGGGUUUGUAGCUCAGCUGGUUAGAGCACACGCUUGAUAAGCGUGGGGUCGGAGGUUCAAGUCCUCCCAGACCCACCAGACAUUCUCAAAGCAAGAGUAAGCAGUAUCGAUACUUGAGUAAGAGUAUGGGGGCAUAGCUCAGUUGGUAGAGCACCUGCUUUGCAAGCAGGGGGUCAUCGGUUCGAUCCCGUUUGCCUCCACCAAACAUUUAAAGACUUUACAAAUUAAAGUUAGCUGCUACAAUGCGCAGCUCAUUUUAAUUUGCGAAGUUUGAGACAAAAGUUUGUUUCAUGUAAAACGCAUUGAUCUUUAACAAAUUGGAAAGCCGAAAUCAACAAACAAAGACAAUGUUGGCUUACUGUAACAGGUAAGCCGCAGUAUUUGGGUGAUGAUUGUAUCGACUGAACUGUGAAACACAAAAGGCACAGUUCGGUACACAACAAGCAGUAAGCUUUGUCAGAGUAAAGACUUCAAGUUGGGUAGGUAGUCAACGCCGAAACAACGAAGUCAGAGAGGUUCUUGAAAUGAUAGAGUCAAGUGAAUAAGUGCAUCAGGUGGAUGCCUUGGCGAUGAUAGGCGACGAAGGACGUGUAAGCCUGCGAAAAGCAUCGGGGAGCUGGCAAUAAAGCUAUGAUCCGGUGAUGUCCGAAUGGGGAAACCCACCGUAUUUUGUACGGUAUCCUUAUCUGAAUACAUAGGAUAAGCGAAGCGAACCCGGAGAACUGAACCAUCUAAGUACCCGGAGGAAAAGAAAUCAACCGAGAUUCCGUAAGUAGUGGCGAGCGAACGCGGAGGAGCCUGUAUAUGAUAGCUGUUGAGAUAGAAGAACAAGCUGGGAAGCUUGGCCAUAGUGGGUGAUAGCCCCGUAUUCGAAAUUUCAUCAGUGGUACUAGGUAUACGACAAGUAGGGCGGGACACGUGGAAUCCUGUCUGAAUAUGGGGGGACCAUCCUCCAAGGCUAAAUACUCAUCAUCGACCGAUAGUGAACCAGUACCGUGAGGGAAAGGCGAAAAGAACCCCGGGAGGGGAGUGAAAUAGAACCUGAAACCUGAUGCAUACAAACAGUGGAAGCCUAUUAAUUGGGUGACUGCGUACCUUUUGUAUAAUGGGUCAACGACUUACAUUCAGUAGCGAGCUUAACCGGAUAGGGGAGGCGUAGGGAAACCGAGUCUUAAUAGGGCGAUGAGUUGCUGGGUGUAGACCCGAAACCGAGUGAUCUAUCCAUGGCCAGGAUGAAGGUGCCGUAACAGGUACUGGAGGUCCGAACCCACGCAUGUUGCAAAAUGCGGGGAUGAGCUGUGGAUAGGGGUGAAAGGCUAAACAAACUCGGAGAUAGCUGGUUCUCCCCGAAAACUAUUUAGGUAGUGCCUCAUGUAUCACUUCCGGGGGUAAAGCACUGUUAUGGCUAGGGGGUCAUUGCGACUUACCAACCCAUGGCAAACUAAGAAUACCGGAAAGUGCAAUCAUGGGAGACAGACAGCGGGUGCUAACGUCCGUUGUCGAGAGGGAAACAACCCAGACCGCCAGCUAAGGUCCCAAAUGACAGAUUAAGUGGUAAACGAAGUGGGAAGGCCCAGACAGCCAGGAUGUUGGCUUAGAAGCAGCCAUCAUUUAAAGAAAGCGUAAUAGCUCACUGGUCGAGUCGUCCUGCGCGGAAGAUGUAACGGGGCUCAAAUCUGUAACCGAAGCUGCGGAUGCACCUAGUGCAUGGUAGGGGAGCGUUCUGUAGGCCGAUGAAGGUGACUUGAGAAGGUUGCUGGAGGUAUCAGAAGUGCGAAUGUUGACAUGAGUAGCGAUAAAGCGGGUGAAAAGCCCGCUCGCCGAAAGCCCAAGGUUUCCUACGCAACGUUCAUCGGCGUAGGGUGAGUCGGCCCCUAAGGCGAGGCAGAAAUGCGUAGUCGAUGGGAAACGGGUUAAUAUUCCCGUACUUGAUUCAAAUGCGAUGUGGGGACGGAGAAGGUUAGGUUAGCAAGCUGUUGGAAUAGCUUGUUUAAGCCGGUAGGUGGAAGACUUAGGCAAAUCCGGGUCUUUUAAACACCGAGAAGUGAUGACGAGUGUCUACGGACAUGAAGUAACCGAUACCACGCUUCCAGGAAAAGCCACUAAGCUUCAGUUUGAAUUGAACCGUACCGCAAACCGACACAGGUGGGCAGGAUGAGAAUUCUAAGGCGCUUGAGAGAACUCGGGAGAAGGAACUCGGCAAAUUGAUACCGUAACUUCGGGAGAAGGUAUGCCCUUUGAUGUGAAAGACUUGCUCUGUAAGCAUUGGAGGGUCGCAGAGAAUCGGUGGCUGCGACUGUUUAUUAAAAACACAGCACUCUGCUAACACGAAAGUGGACGUAUAGGGUGUGACGCCUGCCCGGUGCUGGAAGGUUAAUUGAAGAUGUGCAAGCAUCGGAUCGAAGCCCCAGUAAACGGCGGCCGUAACUAUAACGGUCCUAAGGUAGCGAAAUUCCUUGUCGGGUAAGUUCCGACCCGCACGAAUGGCGUAACGAUGGCCACACUGUCUCCUCCCGAGACUCAGCGAAGUUGAAAUGGUUGUGAAGAUGCAAUCUCCCCGCUGCUAGACGGAAAGACCCCGUGAACCUUUACUGUAGCUUUGCAUUGGACUUUGAAGUCACUUGUGUAGGAUAGGUGGGAGGCUUAGAAGCAGAGACGCCAGUUUCUGUGGAGCCGUCCUUGAAAUACCACCCUGGUGGCUUUGAGGUUCUAACCCAGGUCCGUGAUCCGGAUCGGGGACCGUGCAUGGUAGGCAGUUUGACUGGGGCGGUCUCCUCCCAAAGAGUAACGGAGGAGUUCGAAGGUUACCUAGGUCCGGUCGGAAAUCGGACUGAUAGUGCAAUGGCAAAAGGUAGCUUAACUGCGAGACCGACAAGUCGAGCAGGUGCGAAAGCAGGACAUAGUGAUCCGGUGGUUCUGUAUGGAAGGGCCAUCGCUCAACGGAUAAAAGGUACUCCGGGGAUAACAGGCUGAUUCCGCCCAAGAGUUCAUAUCGACGGCGGAGUUUGGCACCUCGAUGUCGGCUCAUCACAUCCUGGGGCUGUAGUCGGUCCCAAGGGUAUGGCUGUUCGCCAUUUAAAGUGGUACGUGAGCUGGGUUUAAAACGUCGUGAGACAGUUUGGUCCCUAUCUGCAGUGGGCGUUGGAAGUUUGACGGGGGCUGCUCCUAGUACGAGAGGACCGGAGUGGACGAACCUCUGGUGUACCGGUUGUGACGCCAGUCGCAUCGCCGGGUAGCUAAGUUCGGAAGAGAUAAGCGCUGAAAGCAUCUAAGCGCGAAACUCGCCUGAAGAUGAGACUUCCCUUGCGGUUUAACCGCACUAAAGAGUCGUUCGAGACCAGGACGUUGAUAGGUCGGGUGUGGAAGCGCAGCAAUGCGUGAAGCUAAC